rnacentral:rRNA from 1 species
UGGGGAAUAUUGGACAAUGGGCGAAAGCCUGAUCCAGCCAUGCCGCGUGUGUGAAGAAGGUCUUCGGAUUGUAAAGCACUUUAAGUUGGGAGGAAGGGCAGUAAGCGAAUACCUUGCUGUUUUGACGUUACCGACAGAAUAAGCACCGGCUAACUCUGUGCCAGCAGCCGCGGUAAUACAGAGGGUGCAAGCGUUAAUCGGAAUUACUGGGCGUAAAGCGCGCGUAGGUGGUUCGUUAAGUUGAAUGUGAAAGCCCCGGGCUCAACCUGAGAACUGCAUCCAAAACUGGCGAGCUAGAGUAGGGCAGAGGGUGGUGGAAUUUCCUGUGUAGCGGUGAAAUGCGUAGAUAUAGGAAGGAACACCAGUGGCGAAGGCGACCACCUGGGCUCAUACUGACACUGAGGUGCGAAAGCGUGGGGAGCAAACAGG